UAAAUUGGCAACUAUUGCAUCUUAGAACUUUAUGCAGAUAUUUGGUUGUAUCUUGGUGAAAUCUUUAAUUCUGUAUGAUAAUACAAAUGCAGCUAUCUAAAGUUAAUGUGGAAAUCAAAGGAAGGUUCAAUCCAAAGGAGCUACCACCAACCAUAUCAUCACACCUUAAGCAUGUUGUAAUCAUUUGUGGACAGGUGAUGGAACCGUUCUUAAAGUUUUGAAGUUCCUGAGCAAACUUAACAUUAGUAAGUUAGCUAGCAACACUCUCACAUUUCUAUAUUUCUUUUGUUUGUCUUAACAUAUGGGUAAAUUAAAGUUGCAAGCUAUGAAGAAACUUGAAAGCCCAAGUUUGGUUUUGGUAAUUAAUGACACCAAGUUGCUAAUGCCUUGUGUUUAAGUGAUUUGAGUUAGGCAUAGCAACACAUGUGAUGAAGGUGCAUGGUGGCAUGAAAAGGUGGCCACAUGAUCACAAAGGGAUGAAGCAUGAUGUGGAGAUCAUGGUGAUAGACGAGGAGCAAAGUUAUCAAGGCAAAGGUAUAAACAUAGGACUUUACCUUUGCCGGUCUAAGAUGAGUAGAGAAGUGAUUGACCGGGUUUAGGAUAGAUAGCCGACUAUCAAGAGGGGAAAUCACGGUCAUCUCUCGAAUCAAGUGCUACUAGGUCUACAUCUUGAGCAUAUGCAUUAGGAUCUAGUAAAGUGCUAACUUAGCUCCUUUGGGAAAAUGUUUGUGAAAAGCUAACACACAUGCACUUUGGUGGUGGACACUUGUUGGUGUUAGCACAUUUACAAAGGAGGUGGAGUUCCUAGGGUUGAGAGGGGUGUGGGUUCCUCUCUCCCUCCCGCCGAGCUUGCGAGGCGGGAUUCGGCGCUUUUGAGAAAAAUAAGUGUAUAUUUUUCUAUUGCGUCGGUGGGAAAUUUUUGUAGAAGUCGCGAGAGUGUUUUCUCACUGAGAAACACUCACCGGACGCUGAGUGUGGAGGCACCGGACGCUGGCCUCAGAGUCCGGUGUGCUUGACCCUGCUAGGGUUGAGCACCGGACGCACUCUGAGAGCGUCCGGUGGUUAGCGUCUGGUGUGAGGAGGUUUUGCGACCCUCUCUGCGCUUGGGUCCGGUGAGCACCGGACGCUACCGGUUCUUAGCGUCCGGUGACCCUGCGGUUUGCGGAACUCUCUGCGCAUGAGUCCGGUGUGGAUCUGUAGAGCGUCCGGUGAUCCGCAGGUGACCGUUAGGAUCUGACACGCGAGAUUCAAGAAGGACACGUGGCCUACCCCAGUGCACCGGACGCUGGGGGUCGAGCGUCCGGUGCUCACUUAGUAGCGUCCGGUGCCCCCGAUUUCAGCCUAGUGAAAGUGGCCAACGGCUAGUUUCUUUGAGGGGCUUAUAAAUUGAGGGUGGCCGGCUUUGGGAGGUCAACUCUUGCACAUUUGAUUACUUGAGACAUACUUUGAGCUAGAGAAUACUCCCUCCACUCAUCUCCUUGCUUGAUUGCUCAUCCUAGUGAGAUUGAGUGAGAUUCAAGUGCAUUGCUUUGAGAGUUGCAUUUAGUGGCACUUGAUUCUUGAGUUUGCUGCGGAUUUCUUGUUACUCUUGGGUGUUUCCCGACGCCCUAGACGGCUUGGAGCAGCGGUGGUGUUGAGCUCGUGGUUGGAGAUUGUUUCGAGGCUCACCAAGUGAUUUGUGAGGGGUUCUUGAGCCUUCCCCGCGGGAGAGCGCAAUUGGCUACUCUAGUGGAUUGCUCGUGGCUUGGAGGAUCCCCAUCUUGUGAGUGGAUGUGCGGCACCCGCUGAGGGUUUGGCUUUGGAUUGCCAAUUAGCUCGUGAUCCAUCAAGUGGGUGUAUCGCCACAACGAGGACUAGCUUGCCGGGAAGCAAGUGAACCUCGGUAAAAAACCUUGUGUCAUCUCUUGCCGAGGAUUCUCUUAUUGUUGUGAUUGAUCGAUUGGCUAUAUUUCUACUCUACAACGUCGGUAUAACAAGAACUCUCCUCUCUUUACAUACUUGCGUACCUUGUUAGUUUAGUUUGUGUAGCCUUCUCUUCUUGUUGUGUUUUAGUGUUUAGCCUUCUUGCUAGUUUGUAUAGGUGGCUUGCAUAACUUAGUUGAGCUAGUGCUAGAAUUGCUUCGCCACUUAUUUUACUAACUCACUUGUUUAGUAAAGUUUGUAGAAUUUUAAAUAGGCUAUUCACCCCCCCCCCUCUAGCCAUUUGGACCUUUCAAAACUCUAUAUUAGUUAAUAAAGCAGUGAUUUGGGAAAUGAAAAUCUGUGAUGGAAAGUGGAAAAUACCAUCUGAUCUAUUUCAUUCACAAGUGUUUGUACACAUAGACUCACUGUCCAUGCUUCCGUAUUACAACUAUUUGCCUUUGUAUGUGGGAAAGAUAAAGCAACAAAGGAACACCUAACUUUAGGAAAGUGAAUGAAUUCAGCUAGAAAGAAAGAAAACAUGUGCACUAAUUUUUGGGGGCGGAGUAGUAGUAUAAUGUGUUAAUUAUUUCUGUACCAUAACACAAAUGUCCUAAUGUCGAUUUUUAAAUAGCUCCUGCUGUAUAUGUAAUUUCUAAGUUGUGCUAACUGUUACUUUCAGAAGUUCAGCUGAUAUACCCUCUUUGUUAAUUGGGAGUCUCUCCCCCCCCUCCCUGUCUCCCUCCCUCACAGUCACUAGGGUGUGAGUGUCUUAGUAGAAUAUUCUUUUUUUGAACAUGAAAUACAGCAGGGGAUUAGUAGAAUAUUCUUAUCUAUUUUCCUCCUUGUUUCAUUUUUGUUAUUGUUGGGUUAACCAUUAUCAUACUUUGGCUCCUUGAAUUUGUUUUCACAAUCUUAGAAAGCUGUAUCCAGGUGCUGUUUCUUUCAACAGUUAUGAGAGUAGAUGAGUUCUAUGCAAGGAUGCAAAUAGAAAUGAUGUGAUACCCUAAUCCAUUUCCAUUUUACUACUGUAAUUUUGUAACACCCUAAAAAUUUGCAUCUUUUGAAAUAGGUCUAAAAUGAUUUAAUUAGGUAUUUUUGUGCUCAUAAAAACAUAGUAAAAAUGAAAAUUUUCCUUAAAUUAAAAUUCAUCAUAGGGUUUAGCAACAAUGUUGUGUAUACAUGCGGACGCAUAAGAUUUAAUGUGAUGUUUCCUUUUUUGCUCUUUGUGUGGUGAUAGUAAGAAAAGUAUUUAAAAUACAUUUGGUAGAUUGAUCUUCCUUGACCAGUAAGUCUUUAUCUUUAUCUACAAUCAAAAUCCUUGUUUCCCAGCUCAAGUUUUUAUUGAGCUUUCUAAAAACAUUUCUUUGUAAUCAAAUCAUUCCUUUCAGUUCCUCGCCCAUUAAUCAAUCUCUAAAAAUUUACAAGGAAUUAUCUCAGCUUUUUCCUAAAACUUAUUUCUAAUUUGCUAAUCUAGUUUUUUUAGACGCUCUAAAUUAUCUCAUCAUGAGCUCCAAAUACUUUAUUUGGAUUUCUCAUGUUCCAUAAUGUCUCUGGUAACUUUCCUCGAAUUUUCAGAACUUUUCAAGUAUUUUUCUAGCUUAAAAAGUAAUUCUAGAUUUUUUUCUGAAAUUACUUUAAUACUAAAAUCAAUCAAUUCCAAAAGUAAUUAAUCCUAAACCUAAUACUACUCGGCCACGUAUGAUGCAUAUACGUUGGUCACCUCCGUCACCUAAUGUUCGUGAAUAUGUAAACCUAGUCACAAGCCGUCCCUCGCCUCUCGCCGCCGGCCGCCCCUACACACAGCCUCGCACACCCGUGCCGCCGCCGCCGCCAUAAGUUUGCCACAAAUUCUUCAGUGUCGUGUCUAAUCGGCGACUCGGCGUCCACGCGUGAGUCCAAGGCAGAGUUUUCUAUCUGCCGGUGAAGUCCGUCACGGAGUUUGACUUCUAGUCUAGUCGAGGUGCUCGACCUGCAAGUUCCAUCCAUAAAGCUGCUGGAAUUGCUGGCCGUCGUCGUCGAGUUUUAGCGAGCACUGCUGCUGCUAUCCCAGGUGGAGGAGGAAAAGUACGCCACGUUAAUCGAAGGUCUGCUGCCUGGGCCCGUUGUUGCCGUUGCGGUGAAUUCCAGAGGUGAAGGCGUCGUGCUUUUGGACCAUGGUCACAUGGAUCGAGGCUGCAAAGCUGCUGUUUGCUUGGUGAAUUUGCUGCGCAUCAAGCCAAGCAAUUCUGUUGCCGUGGGUGUGGUGAUUUUUGGUGAGUUUAACUACAAGAUCCAGCAAUUAAGCCUCAUCGCCUUUCAUGUCUACAGAUGUGAACAUAUGCAUAAUCCAUAUCCUACACGUUGCCAUUAACUCUUUGUGGUGUUUCCUCAUCUUUGUUUCGUUUUAGUCUGUUCAAGUUGAGUUAGACUUAUAGCAAUGCAGUCCACGUUCUAAUAUUAUUGUUAAAUAUAUUGUUGAAUCUUAUAAAAUAAAUAUUAACUCAAUUAGUAUUUAUGUAACCGGUUCUAUUAAUAAAAUUAGUAUAGGAGUUGCACUUUGAUAUUUUAUAGGUAGAUCUUAAAACGAUUUAAUUGAAUUUGUUUUGAAAUUAUAAUUUGAUUAGUUUUUAAAUCUUUUAAUUGUUUGGUGUAUUGUUCUAAUUAUAGCUUGUUUGCUCUGUGUAUGAUUGACCAAUGGAAUGCGUGUUGUUGAUUGAUGAUCGAGUUUAGUCAGUGAGCUUUACGUUGGUGAUCAAGGCCAAGCUUUUGACGACCAGCAGGCUCAGGAGAGCUUUGAUCAAGGCAAGUAUAGUAUUUGGAUUUUAUUUCUGUGACCAUGAUCCUGUGACUAGAUUAAUGUUAAGUAAUAAAUGAUAAAAAUGACUUUUUAGCAACUUGAUGAUUUGUCUGUACGUGAUCACCCGGGACAACAGUGCAACCAUGAGGGCUAUAAUGGCUCUGGCUUUAGCUCAGUAUGAAGACCUUUUCUAGCUUGUUAGAGGUUACCCGAAAGGGCGGAGGGGCUGAACCGUUUUGGGUAUAGUGUGGCCUCUGUCUGUAUGUGUAUAGGCUGCGAGUCAUUGUGCCAUCGGAAGGGGGGCUCUAUAUCUGCGCGCAAAGGAAACCUUGCGGCCCUAACAUGUUAGACGAACUUUUGAAAGGCUUCAUAGUGAUCCCUGCCGACCUUCCUUGGAAGUGGGUUAAGAGGCUGAUCACCUCGGGCGAAAGGGUAAAUCAUGACUCAUGGGUAAAGAUGUGCAACCUCUGCAGAGGGUUAAAAACUAGUAUACUAGCCGAGCUCACGGUCAGGAGCGGCCUUGGGGACAUCUACAUUAAGGGUGAUGAAUCUUGUGUGUUAAAUAUGCUCAUUGUUUAUUGUUUAAUGCUUUACAUUAUUUAUGUCACAUUGGUCAUGAGAUUGUGGAAGUUAUACAAUCUAGUUGCUAUACUUGUGGAGUUCGACAUGGACUCACUCUUGCUAUUUUCCCCAAACCUCAGGAGAAGUUUAGGAUUGUGAUCAACCAGUCAGUUGGAUCCUGUGGAGAGGAGUUAAUACCCGAUGGUUGGAGUUGUCUAUCCGUUGUUUGCUAUCUAAGGUUAUCUUUUUUAUACUAAGUACGUUAUAUAUUUAUGCAUUGUCUUUUGAUAUUACCCCCCUUAUUUGUAGCUAUAUGUGAGAUUUGACUUCUAAGACUCACAUAUGGUGUAUAUCUGGUUUUAUCCUUAAAAUCGGGUAUUACAAAGUGGUAUCAAAGCAAUGCUGACUGUAGGACGCAAGCCUAGUUAGAAAUUUGUCGUCUUAAGGUUUUGGAAUUGUCAUAAAAUCCUUGCUCUAUAAACCUUGGUAUUUUCAUCCAUAUUAUAUCCCUAUCCUUGCUAUUUGUCUCCACCUUGUUGCUUAUUUUAAAGACUUGUUCUCAUCCCCACUCCUUGCUUGAUAUGCUUUUAGAACUUUUUCUUACCACCUUCUGGCAUCGUUGGAAUAGGUGUUUUAAGAUAUCUACCCUUACUAUGAAGAGAACGAUAGUAUCGCAAAUUGAGUGAAGUGUGCUUAGUUGGUUUGUUAUUAUGCUUAUGCUUGAUUUGGAUCUUUGUAAUGAUUGCAAUGAUCUUGUGGGAUUUCUCCACAAUUUCAUUAGUUUAUAGACCUAAGGCAUAAGGAUUAAUGAAAUAAGUAGUUGGGUUUGGCUAUCUCUUGUUCCUAUCCCUUGCUGAUUUCUGGAGCAGUCUGCGAUGAUUUUGGUGUACCUCAAGUUUUGAUCGUGCAAAGUAUAUCAACUUUUUCUGGGAACAACUAGACUUCAAGAUCUUUCUCUGACCGCAAGAAUCACCCCCAUAUCUAUUUUGGAAUUGGAGUUAUGAAAAUCACAAGUUGAUGCAGCUGCGCUGUCAAGAAUCUGUACCAGUUUCGGUUGCUUACUGUUUUAGACAUAUAUAACUAUAGAAUUUGGAAAAGUAUUCUAUAGAAAAUUUGUAGACAAUUUUCUAUUCUUUCCAACGGUACAAGCUGGAACUUAUUUGGAUAAGUAGAACUUGAGAUUAUGAUAUUUAUACUCGGAUGUUUCUGUUCUGCUUCAAAAUCUGGACAGAUCUGGUAUUUCUAAUUUUUCAGCCAAGUUAAAGACAGAAUCUGGGAAAACGUGGUAUACGAAACUUGUAGAGAAUUUCCCAACCUUUUCAAAAAUGUAAGGAUCAUCUCCAGAUGAGUUAAGGAGCUCUAGAUAUAACUUCUGGAAGUUACUGCACCUUUGCUGAGACAUUAUCAGGAAGGAGAUUAUGUUUGGUUGUUUUACCUAAGCUUAAAGACAGAACCUAAGGAGGUCUUCUACAUGAAAGUGGUAGAGAAUUUCAUAAGUUUUCUAACGGUAUAAGCUACAACUCUAUUGGAUUAACGUAAUAAGAGUUAUACUUGUUUUACUACGCUGGUGUUUUCAUAUCACGAGAAGAUUUCAGGAUACCUGUUUGUUCUCUUGCACCUAAGUUCUUUGGGAUGUCAGGAGUUCUCAAUGUUAGUUAACUUGUCUGAAAAACAUGCAAGCUACCUUUCUUGUGCCCUAGUUGACUUUUCAUAAGGAGGGUAGCCUAGUUAAAGAAGUUACAAGGAGAAUGAUUGGUUAAUGUUGGAUCAUAUGUUAGGAUCACAAAUGUUUGGUGAAUUUGGUUUUGUUCCAAGGUAUCAACCCACUUGGAGAAUAUAAUUGGAGGUUUAUGUCAUUACUGAUACUCACAGACUAAGAGUUAUGUUAUGAGGAUCAGAUGACACCAAAGUUUACGAAGCUAUAAUUGGGAUGCCAGAGUGAAACAACUUAACUGUGAUAAAGGUACCAAUAGAUGGAACUUAGUGUUGAAACCAACCUUGGAUUAAGAGACUUGAUACAAGGAAUUUAAAAGACUAUGAUGUGUAGCGUCUAAAAAGGAUAGGAGAAUUAGUCCCUAAUGUCCCCCAACCAACCUCGUCUUAAGGGGGGUAGUACUUUGGUACCACUGGAAGAUGCAUUUUAAACUAUCAUGAAGCAAUAACUGUCUUCUGAGAUAUCUUAUGGUUAUGUGCAAACAAAGGAGUGAUCUGUGCUACCCAGUGGAUUUUUUUUUAAACCGCACCAUCAGGGAAAAGAAUUGAGUAUCAAGGUGGUCCGCUCCUACCUGAGGAGGCAUAUCCAUGCUAAGUUAUCACGUCUUUGAGUUGUAUGAGUGAAAAGUUGGUAGUCAAGAUGGACCUUGAUCAAUUACGAAUAAUAGACGUUUUAUGGAAAUUUUGUUCACAAGUUGUGAUCCCGAGACACAAGUGUUUGCAUUUGGAAUGCCAGUUGUGAAGUUGAAAUAGUUAUCAGUAUCUUUUUCUGUUUCUCUGUUGGAAUCCGUGUCUCUUUCGAAUCUCGAGGACGAGAUUCAUUUUAAGGGGGGUAGAAUUGUAACACCCUAAAAAUUUGCAUCUUUUGAAAUAGGUCUAAAAUGAUUUAAUUAGGUAUUUUUGUGCUCAUAAAAACAUAGUAAAAAUGAAAAUUUUCCUUAAAUUAAAAUUCAUCAUAGGGUUUAGCAACAAUGUUGUGUAUACAUGCGGACGCAUAAGAUUUAAUGUGAUGUUUCCUUUUUUGCUCUUUGUGUGGUGAUAGUAAGAAAAGUAUUUAAAAUACAUUUGGUAGAUUGAUCUUCCUUGACCAGUAAGUCUUUAUCUUUAUCUACAAUCAAAAUCCUUGUUUCCCAGCUCAAGUUUUUAUUGAGCUUUCUAAAAACAUUUCUUUGUAAUCAAAUCAUUCCUUUCAGUUCCUCGCCCAUUAAUCAAUCUCUAAAAAUUUACAAGGAAUUAUCUCAGCUUUUUCCUAAAACUUAUUUCUAAUUUGCUAAUCUAGUUUUUUUAGACGCUCUAAAUUAUCUCAUCAUGAGCUCCAAAUACUUUAUUUGGAUUUCUCAUGUUCCAUAAUGUCUCUGGUAACUUUCCUCGAAUUUUCAGAACUUUUCAAGUAUUUUUCUAGCUUAAAAAGUAAUUCUAGAUUUUUUUCUGAAAUUACUUUAAUACUGAAAUCAAUCAAUUCCAAAAGUAAUUAAUCCUAAACCUAAUACUACUCGGCCACGUAUGAUGCAUAUACGUUGGUCACCUCCGUCACCUAAUGUUCGUGAAUAUGUAAACCUAGUCACAAGCCGUCCCUCGCCUCUCGCCGCCGGCCGCCCCUACACACAGCCUCGCACACCCGUGCCGCCGCCGCCGCCAUAAGUUUGCCACAAAUUCUUCAGUGUCGUGUCUAAUCGGCGACUCGGCGUCCACGCGUGAGUCCAAGGCAGAGUUUUCUAUCUGCCGGUGAAGUCCGUCACGGAGUUUGACUUCUAGUCUAGUCGAGGUGCUCGACCUGCAAGUUCCAUCCAUAAAGCUGCUGGAAUUGCUGGCCGUCGUCGUCGAGUUUUAGCGAGCACUGCUGCUGCUAUCCCAGGUGGAGGAGGAAAAGUACGCCACGUUAAUCGAAGGUCUGCUGCCUGGGCCCGUUGUUGCCGUUGCGGUGAAUUCCAGAGGUGAAGGCGUCGUGCUUUUGGACCAUGGUCACAUGGAUCGAGGCUGCAAAGCUGCUGUUUGCUUGGUGAAUUUGCUGCGCAUCAAGCCAAGCAAUUCUGUUGCCGUGGGUGUGGUGAUUUUUGGUGAGUUUAACUACAAGAUCCAGCAAUUAAGCCUCAUCGCCUUUCAUGUCUACAGAUGUGAACAUAUGCAUAAUCCAUAUCCUACACGUUGCCAUUAACUCUUUGUGGUGUUUCCUCAUCUUUGUUUCGUUUUAGUCUGUUCAAGUUGAGUUAGACUUAUAGCAAUGCAGUCCACGUUCUAAUAUUAUUGUUAAAUAUAUUGUUGAAUCUUAUAAAAUAAAUAUUAACUCAAUUAGUAUUUAUGUAACCGGUUCUAUUAAUAAAAUUAGUAUAGGAGUUGCACUUUGAUAUUUUAUAGGUAGAUCUUAAAACGAUUUAAUUGAAUUUGUUUUGAAAUUAUAAUUUGAUUAGUUUUUAAAUCUUUUAAUUGUUUGGUGUAUUGUUCUAAUUAUAGCUUGUUUGCUCUGUGUAUGAUUGACCAAUGGAAUGCGUGUUGUUGAUUGAUGAUCGAGUUUAGUCAGUGAGCUUUACGUUGGUGAUCAAGGCCAAGCUUUUGACGACCAGCAGGCUCAGGAGAGCUUUGAUCAAGGCAAGUAUAGUAUUUGGAUUUUAUUUCUGUGACCAUGAUCCUGUGACUAGAUUAAUGUUAAGUAAUAAAUGAUAAAAAUGACUUUUUAGCAACUUGAUGAUUUGUCUGUACGUGAUCACCCGGGACAACAGUGCAACCAUGAGGGCUAUAAUGGCUCUGGCUUUAGCUCAGUAUGAAGACCUUUUCUAGCUUGUUAGAGGUUACCCGAAAGGGCGGAGGGGCUGAACCGUUUUGGGUAUAGUGUGGCCUCUGUCUGUAUGUGUAUAGGCUGCGAGUCAUUGUGCCAUCGGAAGGGGGGCUCUAUAUCUGCGCGCAAAGGAAACCUUGCGGCCCUAACAUGUUAGACGAACUUUUGAAAGGCUUCAUAGUGAUCCCUGCCGACCUUCCUUGGAAGUGGGUUAAGAGGCUGAUCACCUCGGGCGAAAGGGUAAAUCAUGACUCAUGGGUAAAGAUGUGCAACCUCUGCAGAGGGUUAAAAACUAGUAUACUAGCCGAGCUCACGGUCAGGAGCGGCCUUGGGGACAUCUACAUUAAGGGUGAUGAAUCUUGUGUGUUAAAUAUGCUCAUUGUUUAUUGUUUAAUGCUUUACAUUAUUUAUGUCACAUUGGUCAUGAGAUUGUGGAAGUUAUACAAUCUAGUUGCUAUACUUGUGGAGUUCGACAUGGACUCACUCUUGCUAUUUUCCCCAAACCUCAGGAGAAGUUUAGGAUUGUGAUCAACCAGUCAGUUGGAUCCUGUGGAGAGGAGUUAAUACCCGAUGGUUGGAGUUGUCUAUCCGUUGUUUGCUAUCUAAGGUUAUCUUUUUUAUACUAAGUACGUUAUAUAUUUAUACAUUGUCUUUUGAUAUUACCCCUUAUUUGUAGCUAUAUGUGAGAUUUGACUUCUAAGACUCACAUAUGGUGUAUAUCUGGUUUUAUCCUUAAAAUCGGGUAUUACAAAUUUCACAGCUUUGCUAUCCACAUUAUCUAGGAUUCUGCAUUAAGGGCUAUCCGCCUCUAAUGAAUAUCUUGAUUUUCAUACUAGUUGUGCUUGCAGCGAAGAUGUUACUUCAAAACUAAUGAAAAUACUUCCAUCUAUAAAUAUAUAAAAUAAUGUUUAGAUUGGUCACUCAUUUUACAAUUCUAUGCAAAGAUGUUUUAUUUAAAAGGUUACACUCAAAAUUGCAUGUCAAAAAGAAAAAACACAAUUAUAUACCAUGAUAAUUAUUUUGGUAAAAUUCAAAGCUGCAUGUCAAAUACUCAAAAACACAAUAGUAUACCAAGAUACUCCCUCCAUCCCAAAUUAUAAGUCAUUUCAAUAAUAUUGGAGAGUCAAAGCAUCUCAACUUUGACCAAAAUUAUAGAGAGAGUUACAAAGAUUUAUAACAUCAAAUAGGUAAUACUAUGAAAAUAUAAUUAAUGAAGAAUAUAAUGAUGCUAACUUGCUAAGUUGACACCAUAAAUACUAUUAUCUUGCCAUAUAAAUUUGGUCAAACUUGAGAUAGUUUGACUCUUCAAGAUUCUUGGAAUGACUUAUAAUUUGGGAUGGAGGAAGUACUUAUUUAGGUGAAAUUCAAAGUUGCAUGUCAAAGACUUCCAAUGUCCCCAAGAUGGCCCUUGAGUGAAGGAAGUAAUUUAUUAAGGAUUCUACUGUAUCUACAUUUUAGUAGUUAAUAACUCCAGCUUUGGAAUAUUCUAGUUCGCUAUAGUUUAGUCAAGUGAAAUUUUCAUAUGGUAGUCGAUCUUUUGCUGUAUCUCAUCUUUACUUGCCUUUUUCACCUCUCAAUAAUUUGUCAGACGAUACCCCUUGGCACUUACUAUGCUUUUCAAUUGUACAGGUUUUAGUUUCACGGAAGCUGAGGACAGAUCUUCUGCCACUUAAUUACAUUACAGAACUAAGAGCCACCAGCAACUGGUAUCACUAAGAAUGCUGCCUUCUUUGUGAUUGCUUUAAGUUCCUCCACUUGCUGUACCAAGUUAAGAUUAUCUACUUGGACCUGAUAAGUUUCAUCAGGGUUGGCUGGACCUUGUUUACCAUGCCAUGCUAUUUCUUGCAACCUUUCCUGAGCAGCUUGCUCAAGGUGCCUAGCUGCUCUUCUCAUUGUUAUGUGCAUGCCUAUUGUCUUGUUCUUGCUAAAUGAGACAGAAAUGUGCCCCAAUACUUAGUGCCCAUGGAUACUCCGAUGUGUAAAAUGGAGUCCAAUGAUGUUCUAAGUUCUGACUUAAAAAGUUUGGACUUUCGUGUGUAUACAUGUAUGUAGAUUCCUG
rnacentral:lncRNA from 1 species